AUGCAUCUUCUCUUAAAAAUUUUGAUUUGCUCAUUGAAUGAUUACAAAUGGACUAGAGAGCAUCCAACAGGAUCAUUAUGUCAGACCUUAGUCCAUCCCAAAUUAUUCUUGGUGGAAGCCCUGAAGAGUCAAUGGUGGCGAGGUUUGGGAACCUCCGGGGUUAAGGGUCACCUGGAGGAUUGGAUACAUGGCAGAUUACUGCUUUUUGCAGUUACAGGUUCUCUCCUGGCUAGAGGAGGAAUGCGAGAUGGUCUGUGGAAUGACAGGGUAAACUCCUGGUCCGGGGUUCGUCUCCAGAAUCAAACCGUCUGGGAGCACUGCCCGGGAAUCUGCACUGAGACAAGAACCUUGGUGAUCCUUCUAAGAUUCCGUGUCUUCCUUGAGUGUCGGCGACCGUGUGGCCCAAAGCAAUGCAAGUCCGGAGAAUGUGAGCACGGGCAGCGCUUCCGUGGACACCAGCCAGUGCCGGCGAGCGGACCGCGGUGACGUGAGAGGCAGCAGGUGCCCGCAGGCCCAGGUAGCAAGCCUCCCGCUCCACGUGCGGUCAGGAACCAGCCUGUGGGCGUGGCUGCUCCGCCUCGCCCCGCCCACCGCUCAGCUCCCGGCAGCCUCAGCGGCGGCGCGGCCCCGCCCACUCCCGCGCUCCCGGCAGCCUCCGCGGCCGCGGGCUCCCAGACGCCUCCAGAGCUUUCCGCGUGCGGGAGAGCGGCGCUGCCCUGGAGGCUCCUCAUGUGCGCGGCGGCCGCACCGCGAGGCGGGGAGCCGAGUCCUCCGAAGCUCCCGGACGCGGGGGGCGCGAUGGGCGCGGAAGUAGAGGACUCCGUGUGGCCGCGCCUGGAGACUCCCGUCCUGCGCCGCCCUGAGGCGGCGGCUGGCUGCAGCGUCACGUGGCGCGCCCCGGCUUUCCAGACGCACAUGUGAGAGACGAGGCUGCGGGCCCCCCACAGAACGGGGCUCUUAGGGGCGCCGGCCCCACCCGCGAGCCGCCCCGCGCCCCGGGCCUGACGGCCUGUGGUGGGGCGUCGCCUCAGGGCAGCCUUCUGCUUUCACACCGGCGUGGCGGCGGCUGGAGCGCUCCGGACCGAGAGCCUGCGUCCUGGCCGGAAGGGGCUGUGGCUCUGCGCGGGUUGGGUUGCGCCGCAGCGAUGCUCUGGGGAGGGCGCGUGACCUGCGCGGAGCCCCGGAGGGCAGCCCCGACGCCGCUCUGCGCUCCUGCCUUGGCCUCCUGUCCCCUCCGUGACUCCAGGCGCGUCUCUGGCCCGCCGUCUCCAGCCGUCUCCGCCACUGACUGGGGCAUUGGCGGGCCUUCACGGCCUUCCUUCCCUCGUGUGCGCCUUUGGGUGCUCCCCCUUGGGCUGGCGAUCAUCCUGGUGCGCCGUGAGCCACUUUCGAAGCCCCAGGCUUGGUCUUUUUUUUCUUUUUUAAGAUUUUAUUUAUUCCUCACAGACACACAGAGAGAGGCAGAGACACAGGCAGACGGAGAAGC
rnacentral:lncRNA from 12 species